rnacentral:tRNA from 1 species
GACCCCAUAGUUUAAUGGUUAGAAUAUUAGAUUUUCAAUCUAGUGGUCUGGGUUCAAUCCCCGGUGGGGUCACCA